rnacentral:tRNA from 1 species
GCCGAAGUGGCGGAAUUGGCAGACGCGCUGGGUUCAGGGUCCAGUGGGGGCAACUCCAUCCGGGUUCAAGUCCCGGCUUCGGCACCA